ensembl:snRNA U6 U6 spliceosomal RNA
GUGCUCCCUUCAGCAGCACAUAUACUAAUACUGAAACAAUGCAGAGAAGAUUCGCAUGGUCCCCUGCACAGGAUGACACACAAGCUUGGGAAGCGUUCCAUAUUAAA